UACGAAGGGGGCUAGCGUUGCUCGGAAUCACUGGGCGUAAAGGGUGCGUAGGCGGGUCUUUUAAGUCAGGGGUGAAAUCCUGGGAGCUCAACUCCAGAACUGCCUUUGAUACUGAGGAUCUUGAGUUCGGGAGAGGUGAGUGGAACUGCGAGUGUAGAGGUGAAAUUCGUAGAUAUUCGCAAGAACACCAGUGGCGAAGGCGGCUCACUGGCCCGAUACUGACGCUGAGGCACGAAAGCGUGGGGAGCAACAGGG
rnacentral:rRNA from 1 species